CCUACGGGUGGCUGCAGUGGGGAAUAUUGGGCAAUGGGCGCAAGCCUGACCCAGCAACGCCGCGUGAAGGAAGAAGGCUUUCGGGUUGUAAACUUCUUUUAUGAGUGACGAAAGAAAUGACGGUACCUCAUGAAUAAGCCACGGCUAACUACGUGCCAGCAGCCGCGGUAAUACGUAGGUGGCAAGCGUUAUCCGGAUUUACUGGGUGUAAAGGGCGUGUAGGCGGGACUGCAAGUCAGAUGUGAAAUCCCGCGGCUCAACCGCGGAACUGCAUUUGAAACUGUUUUUCUUGAGUACCGGAGAGGUCAUCGGAAUUCCUUGUGUAGCGGUGAAAUGCGUAGAUAUAAGGAAGAACACCAGUGGCGAAGGCGGAUGACUGGACGGCAACUGACGGUGAGGCGCGAAAGCGUGGGGAGCAAACAGGAUUAGAUACCCGUGUAGUC
rnacentral:rRNA from 1 species